rnacentral:rRNA from 1 species
GCCACAGCCAUAUCACCCUGCAGUUACUCACUGAAGCAAAGCACGGCUGAGCCUGACCAGUACCUGGAUGCGAGACCACAUGGGAAAACUAGGUUGCUGGUGGAA